rnacentral:sRNA from 1 species
ACUUUGCGUGAAGGAUGGAAGCGGCAUCCUUUUAUGUAGUCCCGACACUUCGGGACUAUAUAAAAGAUAUAGCGUACAGCCUGACCUUUU